UUGACUGUUCUUCUCUUCAUUUACAAGUGAGUGUUUGUAGCUGAGUGUGAAGAAGAAGUGUCUUGCUGUUUCAGUUGAAGAACCAGUUAGAAUUUAUAUUAAGAUGUUUGUGGAAGAAGUAAUGGAGUUAGUUGAACUUAAUCUAUUACGAGAUGCCUUGGUGGGUCUUCCAGAGGUAGACGGCCUAUCAACUGAACAGUGAAAGAAGCUCAUAGUAGCUGUAGAUUUGGUUGCAAAUCCAUCUAUCAUCUUCAUGGAUGAGCCAACUUUUGGCCUUGAUGUUAGAGCUAUAGCUAUUGUUACGCAAAAAGUGAGAAAUAUAAUGGACACAGGACAGACUAUUUUAUGCACCAUCCACCAACCUAGCAUUGACAUUUUGGAAGCUUUUGAUAAGUUACUCCUAAUGAAGAGGGCAGGACAAGUCAUAUAUGUAGGACCUCUUGGACACCAUUCUACUAAUCUUAUAGAAUCUUUUGAAGUAAGUUUCUAUAGCUGCUAUAAAAGCUAAAUUUUUUCAUGUAUAUCUACAAAACUGAAAUGUCUGUUUGGUGGCAUAGUAGGAUUGUUUCUUACAGAGGGUCAUU